rnacentral:rRNA from 1 species
GACGAACGCUGGCGGCGUGCUUAACACAUGCAAGUCGAACGGAAAGGCCCUGCUUUUGUGGGGUGCUCGAGUGGCGAACGGGUGAGUAACACGUGAGUAACCUGCCCUUGACUUUGGGAUAACUUCAGGAAACUGGGGCUAAUACCGGAUAGGAGCUCCUGCUGCAUGGUGGGGGUUGGAAAGUUUCGGCGGUUGGGGAUGGACUCGCGGCUUAUCAGCUUGUUGGUGGGGUAGUGGCUUACCAAGGCUUUGACGGGUAGCCGGCCUGAGAGGGUGACCGGCCACGUUGGGACUGAGAUGCAGCCCAGACUCCGACGGGAGGCAGCAGUGGGGAAUAUUGCACAAUGGGCGGAAGCCUGAUGCAGCAACGCCGCGUGCGGGAUGACGGCCUUCGGGUUGUAAACCGCUUUCGCCUGUGACGAAGCGUGAGUGAGGGUAAUGGGUAAAGAAGCACCGGCUAGCUACGUG